AUAUUGGACAAUGGGCGCAAGCCUGAUCCAGCCAUGCCGCGUGGGUGAAGAAGGCCUUCGGGUUGUAAAGCCCUUUUGUUGGGGAAGAAAUCGUGCAGGUGAAUAUCCUGCGCGGAUGACGGUACCCAAAGAAUAAGCACCGGCUAACUUCGUGCCAGCAGCCGCGGUAAUACGAAGGGUGCAAGCGUUACUCGGAAUUACUGGGCGUAAAGCGUGCGUAGGCGGUUCGUUAAGUCCGUUGUGAAAGCCCUGGGCUCAACCUGGGAAUUGCAGUGGAUACUGGCGAGCUGGAGUACGGUAGAGGAUGGUGGAAUUCCCGGUGUAGCGGUGAAAUGCGUAGAGAUCGGGAGGAACACCAGUUGCGAAGGCGGUCUCUUGGUCCGACACUGACGCUGAGGCGCGAAAGCGUGGGGAGCAAACA
rnacentral:rRNA from 1 species